GGGCUAUGAUGAUCAGAGAUAGUCAUGCACCACUCUGAUUUUAAAUGCUGAUAAAUUUCUCACACCCAUUAUUUUCAUGAGCCU